rnacentral:rRNA from 1 species
UACGUAGGCAGCGAGCGUUGUUCGGAAUUACUGGGCGUAAAGAGUGUGUAGGCGGUGCUCUAAGUUCGGUGUGAAAUCUCCUGGCUUAACUGGGAGGGUGCGCCGGAAACUGGGGUGCUCGAGCGUGGGAGAGGAAAGCGGAAUUCCUGGUGUAGCGGUGAAAUGCGUAGAUAUCGGGAGGAACACCAGUGGCGAAGGCGACUUCCUGGCCUGUUCUUGACGCUGAGGCGCGAAAGCUAGGGGAGCAAACGGG